CUAUUAACCAAGAACAUGCCUUCCUCUGCAUCCUCAUCAAAAUUCUUGGUCACAAAAGCUGGGUAAAUGAUUGAUGAGAAAGAAACUGGUGGUUGAUGGAAAUCAAAGGAAGAAGGCAGGGGCUUCUUCAGCAAUAAAUCAAGAGUGAAAGAACACGAAAUAAACCAUGUAAUUACACUUUUAAGUGACACCAGCACAGGAAUGCAAGAGAGCAAGGCAUGAGUACUCAUGGAGUUGCAUUGAUUCACUGACAUUCUUUCACCUUGUUUAGUGCCCUUUUUGAAUGACCAACAGCAUAUAUGGCUCAUGAU